GACGAACGCUGGCGGCGUGCUUAACACAUGCAAGUCGAACGGAAAGGCCCUGCUUUUGUGGGGUGCUCGAGUGGCGAAAGGGUGAGUAACACGUGAGUAACCUGCCCUUGACUUUGGGAUAACUUCAGGAAACUGGGGCUAAUACCGGAUAGGAGCUCCUGCUGCAUGGUGGGGGUUGGAAAGUUUCGGCGGGUGGGGAUGGACUCGCGGCUUAUCAGCUUGUUGGUGGGGUAGUGGCUUACCAAGGCUUUGACGGGUAGCCGGCCUGAGAGGGUGACCGGCCACAUUGGGACUGAGAUACGGCCCAGACUCCUACGGGAGGCAGCAGUGGGGAAUAUUGCACAAUGGGCGGAAGCCUGAUGCAGCAACGCCGCGUGCGGGAUGACGGCCUUCGGGUUGUAAACCGCUUUCGCCUGUGACGAAGCGUGAGUGACGGUACUGGGUAAAGAAGCACCGGCUAACUACGUG
rnacentral:rRNA from 1 species